rnacentral:lncRNA from 1 species
AUGGAGCACUCCUGGAAAACUUCCGGAUACGACGCUCUUCUUUUAGAAAGGCCUCUACGGGUCGGAGAUUUAGCUCCGUGGCACCGCGCCUGCCUGGCAAGCUCAAAUUCCCGAGUUCGAUCCCUGGGUAACAGCCACAAAGUCAAUUCGGCCACCGUAACUGUUCCCAGAAUGCCGCGCGCCUUCACGCUCUUCCAAGGUCCGACUCCUUCCAGAGACCCGUGUCAGUUGGUCUCGCGAGGGUUGCUGGCAGGAUGUUAGAAUUGGCAGACUUGAGCAUAUUUUUGGGAAGGACAGUAAGGACUGUUCCCCACCCCCCCCAACUUUGCAAGCAAUUAGAAGGCUAAGGAAAGGGCAUAAUCUCACGGAAUUUUUGUUGAUUCUUAAUCAGUGGAUUAGAUGUUAUUAGAAAAAUGGAAAGGUGAUGUAUAUUUUAAGUAACCUGAGUUAGCCAUUCCACAAUGUAUACAUAUUUUAAAACAUGUUGUAGAUCAUAAAUAUAUAUUUUAUUUGUAAAAAAAUAAAAUAGCGUUUAAAGUUAAAAAGCUGAGCCCAGCGUGUUGAUAUACACCUGUAAUCCCCAGACUCGGGAGGCUGAGGCAGGAGUAUCACUGUGAGUUCGAGGUCAACCUGGGCUACAUAGUGAGUUCAAGACCAGCUUGAACUACAUAGUAAGACUCUGUCUCAAACAAUAAACAACAACAAUAGAAGUUAAAAAGCUGAAAGGUGGUAAACCUUAAUGUGUAACUUCAUUUGUUACUGAAAUAGUUAAAUAACUUUAACCUAUUUCCUAUAAAAAGUAAUUAUUUUUGCUUUACAAAAUGAAGGCAAGGAAAAAAUGAAACAACACAAAACCCCCAAAUCCCAUCUACUCAGAGACAACCAUGGUGAACACUUUGGUGGAUUCUUCCAGACCCUUUGUAUGCAUAGAGUAAAAAAAAAUUCAAAAGAGAAUCACACUGUAUAUACUGUUUUGCAACUUAAAUAACUUUAAAUGAAUAUUUCAUUAAAAAAGACUAUGGUAAAAAAAAAAGACUAUGGUUGCAUGUAUUCCAUUAUACCUCUUAUUGGACAUUUAAGCUGUUUCUGUUCUUUUUGCUCCUAAUUAGUACUGCGAAGGAGAAAUGAAAAGCCCAAUAGCUAAACCUGCCCCCACUCAUUUGUUUGUGGUGACUAUUUUUCUUUUUUAAAGUCCUUUAUAUAUGUACUUCCUAUCUUUCCCCAAUGCCUUUGCAGUCCACCCUGUCUUUCUAGUGUACGUGGAUGAAGUUACACAUAUGGUAUGGUAUACACCCAAUUUUUUUAAAGCUUAUUUUUAUGAUUAUAAAGGCAACUCAUGCUUAUUGUAGAAUUUUUUUUUUUGGUGCUGGGGAUUGAACUCAGGACAUCACACUUGCCAGGCAGGCGCUGUGCCCCUGAGCUACAUCCCCAGCCCUAGAACAUUAUGGAAGAGUAUAAUAAAAAUUCUAAUACCUAGAUGACCACUGAUAGUUUGGUAUAUAUUUUCUUUCUCUGUUCCUUUUACAGUGAGUGUUGAAGAAGUGUUUGCUAAUUUGGCAGGGAAAUAAAUAUUGCAGCUUUUAAUUUGCACAUUUUUGCUUUUUAAUUUGCACAUCAUGUAGCUGAAUAAUAUUUCAAAUACUAUUUCAAAUGUUUACAGGCUUUGGUCUAUUUUAGUCCUUACUUUCUCUAGUUUUCCUUCAGUAUUCCAAACCAAUCAUAUUGAAUUGUAAUACCUUAGUUUUGUACAUGUGUAGGUUUUUUUUUUUUUGAUAAUAGGAAUUGAACUCGGGACCUUGCACUUAUGAGGCAGGUGGCGGAACCACUGAGCUAAAUCCCCAGCCCUGUACAUGUAUAGGUUUUAAUUCUUUCAGCUAUGUUGAAAGCUGGUUGUAUAGUCCUGAAUAAAUUGUUUAAUUUUGCUGAGCCCACUUUCCUUAGGGAUAAUUAGGGACAAUUCUACUUGUUUUGCAGGGUUGCAGUAAGGAUUAGAAAUAAUGUAUCCAAGGUGAAUUCAAUUAACUAUCUACUUUUUUUAAUUUAU